UAUCAUAUUUAUUUUUAUUUAUUAUGUUUUGAGUAAUUGUAAAUUAAUUGUGUAUACAUAUAUAUACGUGGAGUAGAAUUAAAAAAAAAAAAAAGAAAAAAAAAAAGGAAAAUGAGUGGGACCCACAAGCACUUAAAAUGGUCAUGAGACCACUUUUGCUUUCACUUUUCUCUCAUUUCCCGUAAGGCUUUCUCUCUCUCUCUCUCUCGUUCCAGAAACUUUUUUUUUUUUUUUUUCAAUUUUCUUCUCUUGAUUUCUCCUACCAUACUUAGUGUUUUUGAGUGUUGUUUACGGCUAUUCGAAACUCAUGGCGAGGCCUACAAGUUGAUAGGAGCAAUUCCUUGGUUGGUGCACCAUAGGAAAUUCGAAAUCCUAGGGUUUGAGGUGAAGAAAUUGGGGGUUUUGACUAAAAUUGAGACUCGGAAAAGAAGUGGCGGAUGACAAUCCCCCGCAAGCUUGAAGAAGAUUAGGAGUUGUAUUUUGUUAUUUUUUGUAUCUUAGCCCAUUUUUUUUUAUAUAGUCUCAAAACUAGAAUGUCAUGUAUUCAUUUUUGCAAGCCAAUGUCAUGCAUUAUAAAUCAUAACUCUUGUUAGUAUUUUGAAGGAAAGCGAGACUAUGUAAAUGCUUAAGUUGAAUGGGAUGACGAUGAUGGGUUAACUUGGGGAGGUUGUUGAUGUUAUGGUAUUGGGGAAUGUAUUAUAAUUUUUUUUUGUAUUGUGUGUUAGGACAGGUUGGAUAUGCCAAGAAAGGCCAUUGCAUUGAUUUUUUUUUUUUAGCAGGUUAUUGUAGGCCUUUUUUUAGCAGAGGUCAUGCCGAUUUUUUUUUUUUUUUAAAUGGUAUCGGUUUAGGUUCGUCACAGAUACACUUCGGGAUGAUGAGAAUAACGCUUUAGGAAGGUAAGAGAGUGUGUGAGGGCACUUUGGAGGUUUAAAAUUAAGCUUUUAGGAAGUUUUACAUUUUGCCCAACUAGAAUUGAUUCAAGUCCCUUGAACAGGUUCAACUUUUGAGGCUUUUUAGUGUUUUUCAAGUCUGGCCAACUUGAAUUGAACCGGUUCAAGUGUCAAAGUUGUUUUUCUCAAAAACUCACCAACUUGAAUCGGUUCAAGCACCCUGAACUGGUUCAAGGUUUUCAGAUCUAUUUGGAAACUCUGUUUCCUUAUCUGUGUUGACUUCCUAUUUUUGAUAGACUUUUACCAUAUUAAUUAUGCACGAAAUUGACUUGUUUUCCAAGUACAAUUAGGUUUUCAAAAGUCUAUAAAUAUAUGUUUUCUCACUUAAAUUUUUAGGGCUUGAAAAUAUAUAUUUUUCUAAUUAAGAGAAUUUUUUAAAGAUAUUUUUAUUCAUAAAAUCAAUCUGAUUUUAUUUUUGAAAGCACACACAUAAACACAAGAGUGAUUUAGGAGUAGUGUUCUCUAUCUCAUUGGAAUUGCAGCAUAAUUGAAGAUUCAGAAAUUCCGAAAAAACAUAAUUCAUUCAUUCUUCAUCAAAUUCAGAAUUGAAGAAAAUGGGCGUUUCGAUCACACUUUGAAGGGGUAAAAACAUUCGUGGAGAGUUAUUUGAUCUACCAGCAAUCCUUCUACAGAGAUCAAGAGUAAGCUUAAGGUCGAGAGCUGUUGGACAGGGAGUCGCAAAGUUAGGGAUUGUCAACAAUUGGUUUUUGGUAGAAUGAUAGGGUAUGAACCUGAGUCAAAGUUUACUUUGCUUCAAACAUAAUAGAUCGUUUUGCUUUGGACAACAUAGUCCACGAGGUUUUCCCCAUGACGAUAGGUAAAUUUCCACCAGUCGAGGUUUCCUCGCUAAAUUUCCUAGUGUCAUCUCUCAAGCUUUAUUUACUUACACUUUAUUUUUGCUUUGUGGGUUUGAUUUUAGUUUUACUUCAGUAAAAUUAAAAUAUGGAAAAAUUGGUUUAAAUAGCAAGUAAAACCUAUUCACCCUUCUAGCUUAUUUUUAAUACAAAUUUCCACAUCAUAUUCCGUUGCACAACUCACAAGAGUGACCUCAACCAAUUCACCACUUACCUCAAUUAGUCAAGGUUACCACAUGCUGGAUGAAUAGAUCGAUUAAAUCCCUCUGGUCUCCAAAAAAGGCCACUUUGCAGUUUCUUUUGCCAAUCAAAAUUUCCAGAAAACUUUAGGAUCUGAUGCCAAUUGUGAAGAACCAAGUUUUGGUAUCAAUUGUUGGAUAAAAGUUUUGAUACCAAUUGUUGUGUCAAGGAAUUACAUAUGCAUCGAGAUCUAGUCACAAAUGAUUAAUAAAAUAACAUAUGUGCAAGAGAAACAAUACAUUUAAAGUGGUUUCGCAUAUUUAAGUCCAUGGAUUACAAUAGAUAAUACACUAUAUAUUAUAGAUAAAUCAUAGUGAGUAUAGAAUACAGCGACACCAAAUCCUCAAUACCAAUACCCGAAUCUUGAAACAGUCCUUAAUUGCCUCCUUAAUGUAUCUGAGCUUCCCGUUUCCAGCAUAGUCCAGGUGUGUAAGCCUUAAUGCAAUCCCUACUUUCUUGCUCAGUGUUCUUUCAUAUCUUACUCAUAUUUCUACAAAUCACCCUUCUUUGUCGUGAGUCUACUCUCUGACACUAAAUUUAUUUCAAUAAUCUCAACUAAUAACUUAGGUAUCUCUUUAUAGUCUUAGCCCAAGUUCUUUGUUGAACAGGAAAUACCUUAUGACUUAAAUAAUGCACCUAAAAAGAACAUUUCCAUACAAAAUAACUCUAAAAUAGGUUUGACCUAUUUAAAAUAGAAAUUCUAGACAUAGUUUCCACGACAUUACCAAGUGUUGGUCCUAAAAGUAUGUAACGAGAUGGACUAACUGAAGACCUAGUCUUCGACAUUGUUCAUAAAAGUAAUUGUCCUCAAAUCAAAACAUGCCAUCUCACUCUUAGUUGUCUAGCCUUAAUAUCAUUGCAACAUAAAAAAAAAAAAAAAUUCCACUUAGAAGGAAUAUGACCCCCUUUUAUAAAAAAAAAAAAAAAAAAUCAAGAACAAGGACCAUAAACCUUCCCCCAUCAUUCAUCAUCAAAGCACAAUAACCAUCUAAUCACCAAGUCACGAUAACUAAUCACUUACACAGAAUCAUUUCAGGAUAUUCCUUUAAUCAAAGAUCAUGCACGAAUGAUUGAAUCAAAGAGUCUGGUCUUCUAAGGGUCAGGAUACUUUGCUAGAUAUCGUUUUGUGUACCACUGUUUGGUCUCUAUAGAGACAAAGGAAUAAGAGGAACCAGAUGAUGUGAUGUGGAGAUCAAGGAAAUGCAAUCUGGAAUCACCAACUAUAAAAUGUGUGGUGCUUCUAUAAAGCCAAAGCUUAAGGGGCAGACUAUCUCUGAUUUUCAUGAAUAUUGGUUUCCCAUUUUCGGUUAACCUAAGCUUCUUAUUGAAUUUCAGUUCUUACAUUGUAGACAUCAUGCAUAGCCUGUACAUUCUUAGUCCUUCUUUUUGUCUAGUCUUACAUAAAAAUGCUUCUAGAUGAGGGCCAAACGGAAUAGACCCACAACUAACCAACAAGAUCAACAAGGCCAGAUAGAAUGGAUGAUCUAGGUCAGGACCAAAUUGAAAAUCUUAUUUAUCAAGUACCUUGUAAUAUAUGAUUAUACGUGAAGCCAUUGAAGUGCCAAUUCAAUAUUUUUCAAGAAUCUUCGUAGAAUUAAUGUGAAAUUCUCCGGCCACAACGCUAUAUUACUUGACCAAAUUUUAUCAAACAGACAACUGCAAAACCACGCAUCAUAAAACAUAACAAUAUUUCAGAAGGGCCGGUGGCCAUCCCUCCCCUUCUCGUUGGUUACCUCCACCUGAGAGUAUUAUUAAAUGUAAUGUGGAUGCUUCCUUUUAUUGGUUACUCAAAUUAGGGAUGGUGGUGCUAUUUUUCGGGAUUCUAGGGGAGCUAUUUUACAUGCAGUGCUUUUUUCCCCUUUUCCGGCUUCGACUGCUACUCUGGCUGAGGUUAUGUGUUUGCAUAAAGCGGUUCUUUGGGCCUCAACUUUGUCUUAUGACAAGUGCUGGUUCGAGUGUGAUUCUUUGUUGGUGGUCCAGGCAGUUGAUGGCGAUGAUUGUGGUCCGGUUGAGCUUCAUUCAGUCUCGUUUGACAUUCGAGUGGCAUUUCGACCAUUCUUUUAUUCUCGAUAUUGCCAUGUACUUAGGCAUGGUAAUGAGGUCGCUCAUGCUCUUGCUAAGUUGCCCCGUCAGCACAUUCUCAAGGAUACUGCACUAAUUUUUGUUCCUACUGAUAUUUUUGUUAUUACAGCUAAAGAUUGUAUAUCUGACUAAGCUUUUGUAGUGGUGGUUUUUCCUUCUUUAGUGGGCACUUUUUCUUUGGAUUGUCAAGACUGCUGAUCUUAAUUAUAAGAGGUGUAGUUAAUUUCGGGAUGAUUUUGUGUAUGUUGGUGUUUAUUGUAUUUUGGUCUUAUGCCUGUGAUUGAUGUUCUUAUAUGACAUAAAAAAACAUUUGUUGGACCAUUUAUCAAACA